rnacentral:lncRNA from 1 species
AAGUUUCUUGUGGAGUGUGCCUAGCAUUUAUUGGACAGUUUGUAGGCACUUAUUGAAGAUAGAUGCAACCAGUCAAAAAGUAGGGGCAGCGUCACGAUGAGGAGACUCAUGACAUCGCGACAAUUUCUCCAAUUAAGCGGCCGUGUUUUGACAACUUAGUAGGAUUCCUUCUCCCAGUCGAACUCUGAUUAUACCAGUGAUAUUUUAGUAUGAUUAGAAUUCUAAUAUUAGUCUAUUUAAAGGGGUCAUUGUAUCUAUGUUUUGACAGGCC